GGAGUGUGGAGCGCAGGAGAUAUGCAGUGUUCAGGAAGGGGUGCUGGGUUGUUCCUCCUCUGGAGAAGCCCCAAUUACUUCAAGUCCAACUACAGUAGGCACCAGUCCACCAGGAAAAUCCUCGACCACUGCAACUCCAACUACAGUAGAGCCCUGUCAGACAGGCCGUGCCACCUGCAGUGCCU